rnacentral:lncRNA from 1 species
AUGUGCCCCCACAGUCCUGUUAGGAACAGGAGAAAAAUCUCAUCCUAACAUGAGCUGAAAUUGAUCAUGUCAGGAAUAGGAAGAGAACCUCAUCCUGACACAAAUGAAGACCUAAUCGUUCAAGAUCGGAUGAGGGAGAAAGCCUCCUCAACGGCUCCUCUACACUCCUACAACCCCGUUAGAAGCAGAGGAAAAAUCUUCGCCCAAACAUAAAAAAAAGAGGAAAGAGAAAAGAGAAAAGCGACGAGCUACGUCAGAGAUAAGAGAAAAAUGAACUACAUCUAAGACACAAGGGACCUCAUCUCAAUGAGGAAGAAAACUCUUAUCAAAAAUCCUCAGUCUCUAAGGGGGAACCCAAUACUGGCAGGAGAAAAUAGACUUCCUCAAAGUAACGAGAAGUUCGGACCCCAAGCUCGAGC